AUGGAGAACGGGGAUACUGGAAGCAGAGGAGAGACUGGCAUAAGCAAAGAAGGGCGAUCAAUAGAAGGUUCCCAAAGGAAGGAAGAAUCAGAACUCCUAAUAGCAGCAGCCUGUGAAUGGAAUGGGGCUCUCACUUUUCUCCAGCAUCUCUCUUCCCGACGCUGUUCCCUGCACCCUGUUGUUUAGGGCUCCUGCAGGGCAGAGAGCAACACGGCCUUCAGACCCAGGUGAGCCAGCUCCCUGUCCUGAGCCCUGUGUCUCAGAGGACCUCAAGCUUCA
rnacentral:lncRNA from 1 species